UUAGCACAUGGCACGGGCAUAACAAUCCUACAGCAUCAAUGGACUUCUGCUCUGCAGGCCCAAACAGCCACUUCAAUGGUCCGUGUUCUUUUAAUGGCCGCCUUCCCACUAGAGGUUCUGAUCCAGAGCAAUUUGAAAGGGGGAAAGAGUAAAACUGACGGUAGUACAGAGAGAAGAAGUGCCCUUGACAAGGAAACCAUGGGAGCCAUAUUUGUGGCAGUCAAGAAGAGAUUUCCCAAUGUAUCCAGAGGAGCUUUGGGUAUUGCAGUGAAUUCCAAGCUGGGGGAACUGAGACUGCUUG